rnacentral:rRNA from 1 species
AGGUGGUCAGGUAGAGAAUACUCAGGCGCUUGAGAGAACUCGGGUGAAGGAACUAGGCAAAAUGGUGCCGUAACUUCGGGAGAAGGCACGCUGGCGGUAGGUAAAGUCCCUCGCGGACGGCGCUGAAGCCAGUCGAAGAUACCAGCUGGCUGCAACUGUUUAUUAAAAACACAGCACUGUGCAAACACGAAAGUGGACGUAUACGGUGUGACGCCUGCCCGGU